rnacentral:rRNA from 1 species
AUUGAACGCUGGCGGCAGGCCUAACACAUGCAAGUCGAACGGUAACAGGAAGCAGCUUGCUGCUUCGCUGACGAGUGGCGGACGGGUGAGUAAUGUCUGGGAAGCUGCCUGAUGGAGGGGGAUAACUACUGGAAACGGUAGCUAAUACCGCAUAAUGUCGCAAGACCAAAGAGGGGGACCUUCGGGCCUCUUGCCAUCGGAUGUGCCCAGAUGGGAUUAGCUUGUUGGUGGGGUAACGGCUCACCAAGGCGACGAUCCCUAGCUGGUCUGAGAGGAUGACCAGCCACACUGGAACUGAGACACGGUCCAGACUCCUACGGGAGGCAGCAGUGGGGAAUAUUGCACAAUGGGCGCAAGCCUGAUGCAGCCAUGCCGCGUGUAUGAAGAAGGCCUUCGGGUUGUAAAGUACUUUCAUCGGGGAGGAAGGGAGUAAAGUUAAUACCUUUGCUCAUUGACGUUACCCGCAGAAGAAGCACCGGCUAACUCCGUG